AUAAGUUGUUUUGCUAUCCUAAAACAUACCAACAACCUAGCCUUUCUCCCCGUCGGUCUCCAGUCACGAACCCGAUUUGACUCUGAUUCAGACGGAGCAAACCAGGUUCCAAUGGCGCCCGCUCUGGCCCGGGGCAAAAUUGGGUAUUACAACAAUCAUCAAAACUUUUCUCUCAAUUUUCAUCACACUUACCAGUAGAGGUGGGCAUUAUUUUAGCAACCGAGUUUAAUUUGUAUUUUUUUAAAUUUUGUCGAAUCGAGUAAAAAAAUUUCGAGUCAA